GUUGCUGCAGACAUGGAGGGAGACGGAUGGAUUUGGUGACAGCAGGUGAUGGGUUGUCUCAUUUCCCUUUUGGGCUGAAGCUCUUCCAGUUGGCUCUGUGGGAGUGCACAGGUGAGAUCCCUCCUGCACAGCUCCAACCUGCAGGCUGCCAUCUGGGGCCAUGGGAAUGUUGAGCACUGAGGAUGUGUGAGCUACAGGUGGAGAAUUCCUCCUGCACACCCCGACAGUAAAGGAAAACUGCCCCCAAGGGUGUUCAAGCUCCAGCUCCCAAGCAGGCCCUGGCUCUGCUCCCUUUUCCUGGCAAACCUCAGCAGCAGCAGGAGAGAGUGGGACUCCAGCACUGCACCCUCACCUAGAGGCAGAUCCCUUUUUGUGUGGAAAAGGACCAACCCUCAUCUCCACCGAGCAGGAUAAGCCCUGUGAACCUCCAGAUGAUGUCUCAUGAGACUGCAGGUGCAGCAGCCUCUGGAACAGCCCUGCAGAGGAGUCACUGAGCAGAUUUGUUUUCUUUUGUUUCCUUUUCUCUCCUGUAAUCGUGACUUUAUGUAGCUUUUGGGACUGAAAUCAUUGUCCAGAGAAGCUGUGGCUGCCCCACCCUGGAAGUGUCCAAGGCCAGGUUGGAUGGGGCUGGGUUAAUGGAAGGUGUCCCUGCCCAUGGCAGGGGCUGGAGCGGGAUGAUCUCUAAGGUCCCUCCCAACCCAAACAGUCCCUUGGUUCUGUAAUUGCAAAUCUCUUAUUUAGGGGAAGAGGGUUCACUCAGGAAAUAUAACAACAUUGACUCCAAAGUGUUUGAGGACAUGCAGGGGGAACAGAACUGUGGGUUGAGCCUUCAGGGGGACAGCUCUGGGGACAAUGUCCUUUCCUGCUGAUGGGACUCACCCCGGGCUGGUGCUGCUGCCUUGGGCAGGUGACACUGUCCCCUUGUGCAUUCCAUGCUGUGGGAAACUGUGGAUGACUCUUCUGAACCAGGGAAUCCCCCACUGUGUGUGAGGAGACAGCACUGCCAGUUUGGGAAUUCUCACUAUGGAGCUUGUAGGAACCAACAGUUCCUUUGGCCAUGGGUUGCUGAGAACCCAGAAACCACCCCAUGGAGUUCCCCACUGUGACCCCUUGCUGAGCCAGCCAGGCUCCAUGAGGAAUUUCUCCUUUUAGGAGGGAUUUUUUCACAAAAAGGAUGAUUAAAUAUUGGC